CCAGACUCCUACGGGAGGCAGCAGUGGGGAAUAUUGCACAAUGGGGGAAACCCUGAUGCAGCGACGCCGCGUGAGUGAAGAAGUAUUUCGGUAUGUAAAGCUCUAUCAGCAGGGAAGAAAAUGACGGUACCUGACUAAGAGGCCCCGGCUAACUACGUGCCAGCAGCCGCGGUAAUACGUAGGGGGCAAGCGUUAUCCGGAUUUACUGGGUGUAAAGGGAGCGUAGACGGUGAUGCAAGUCAGAAGUGAAAGCCCGGGGCUCAACUCCGGGACUGCUUUUGAAACUGUGUGACUGGAGUGCGGGAGAGGUAAGCGGAAUUCCUGGUGUAGCGGUGAAAUGCGUAGAUAUCAGGAGGAACACCAGUGGCGAAGGCGGCUUACUGGACUGUAACUGACGUUGAGGCUCGAAAGCGUGGGGAGCAAACAGGAUUAGAUACCCCCGUAA
rnacentral:rRNA from 1 species